GACUUCCCUGGGGCCCAUAUAACAAGAGUAACCAUGCUUACCCAUCAGCAGAUGCCCAGUGAAUCUGCCCGUUCCUGCUCACGUGCCGCGGGGAAGUUCCUCUUGGAUCUGAGCUCUACUCCGUUUGCGUUUGAGCUCCCGGGUCUGAUGGGCUUUUCUUUUCCUGGCCAGGAUUUAGUGGGCCAGCUGGAGCUGGCGGGUGGUUCUACGUGGACCCGAAGCCCCUAAGCCCUGCGUUAUCCACAGUCUUGACGUGUUGGGUUCUGCUGGUGGGCCCACCAUUCCACUUGGGGAACUACUGGCGGUCUUGGUGUGACCCUAAGGUAAGAGCGACAGAUCUGCCAGACAGACACCGAGGAGACAUGAGACCUAAAGUUCUAGAGAGCUGAGAGCUCCAUAUUCUUGUGCCCCAGCUCUUUAUAUGGGAAGUGGGGUUCCGGAGCGCAUACACAGUGGCAGAAAUGGCAGCAUCUAAGGGCAGCCCUGAAUCACAGCGGCCGUGGUCGGAAACCCGUGACCUAGACCAGCUUGUCCAGUUACAAGUUCUCAGCCAAGAACGCACUAGAAAGGGCAGAGGGAAAAUUAAUUUUUCCUCGUCUACAGUCUCUGGUGACCCAGAGGAGACCCACUGGGACACCGCACCCGCUCCGGAGCCUACACGCAGGACCCUGAGGAAGCGGAGAGGCCAGCAGAGAGAGUGGGGUCAAGUUUCACGUUGUCUCUUCCCUUUCAAAUCCAGACUGUUGUGAAUUUGGUUUGGGGAUCCCCUCUGGUCACUGACCCUCUCCCUCCCAGGGACAGCUCCUGCUUUCCUAUUUGUCUUGCUGUGUGUCCCGGGCCUCUGGCUUGGCUUUCUGCCUGUCUGGGGCUUGCAGGCUGUGCAUUCUUGUAAGUGCAAGGUCAGGGGCCCCGAGAAUAUGGCUGGCCUGAGAUACGGGUUGCACCCCCUUUGUGGCUGCCAUCCUACUGACUGUUGCCAGCUCUCAGGGGAACUUUCUAGAUCUUGCCUAUCUUUGGGAGUAGCUCUGGGUCUUGGGAAGACUAAAUCUUUUGCACCCUCCUAGGACAUGCAUCUCGAGUCCGUGGAUAUGUCAUAAAAGGCUUAUUAGUUUUGCUUGAGUAACUUGAUCUACCUUUGGUUUAAAAGAAGCCAAAAAAAAAAAAAGUGUACUAUUGCCA